rnacentral:rRNA from 1 species
UACGUAGGGUGCGAGCGUUAAUCGGAAUUACUGGGCGUAAAGCGUGCGCAGGCGGCGCGUUAAGACAGGUGUGAAAGCCCCGAGCUUAACUUGGGAACUGCCGUUGAUACUAUUUAUCUUGAAUGUUGUGGAGGUUAGCGGAAUAUGUCAUGUAGCGGUGAAAUGCUUAGAUAUGACAUAGAACACCCAUUGCGAAGGCAGCUAACUACGCAAAUAUUGACGCUGAGGCACGAAAGCGUGGGGAUCAAACAGG